UACGUAGGGUGCGAGCGUUAAUCGGAAUUACUGGGCGUAAAGCGUGCGCAGGCGGUUCGUUAUGUCCGAUGUGAAAGCCCCGAGCUUAACUUGGGAAUGGCAUUGGAAACUGGCGGACUAGAGUGUGGCAGAGGGGGGUGGAAUUCCACGUGUAGCAGUGAAAUGCGUAGAGAUGUGGAGGAACACCGAUGGCGAAGGCAGCCCCCUGGGCUAACACUGACGCUCAUGCACGAAAGCGUGGGGAGCAAACAGG
rnacentral:rRNA from 1 species